GACGAACGCUGGCGGCGUGCUUAACACAUGCAAGUCGAACGAUGAAGCCUAGCUUGCUAGGUGGAUUAGUGGCGAACGGGUGAGUAAUACGUGAGUAACCUACCUUUAACUCUGGGAUAAGCCUGGGAAACUGGGUCUAAUACCGGAUACGACCAAUCUCCGCAUGGGGUGUUGGUGGAAAGCGUUAUGUAGUGGUUAUAGAUGGGCUCACGGCCUAUCAGCUUGUUGGUGAGGUAACGGCUCACCAAGGCGGCGACGGGUAGCCGGCCUGAGAGGGUGACCGGCCACACUGGGACUGAGACACGGCCCAGACUCCUACGGGAGGCAGCAGUGGGGAAUAUUGCACAAUGGGCGCAAGCCUGAUGCAACGACCCCGCCUGAGGGAUGACGGCCCUCCGGUUGUAAACCUCUGUUACCCGGGAAGAAGAAAGAUUGACGGGACCUCGCGAGAAAGCGCCGGGCUAAAUACGUGCCAGCAGCCCCGGGAAUUACUAAGGCGCGAGCGUUUGUCCCGAAUUAUUGGGCGCAAAAAACUUGGAGGCGGUUUGUCGCGUCUGCUGUGAAAGGCCGGAGCUUAACUCCGUGUAUUGCAGUGGGUACGGGCAGACUAGAGUGCAGUAGGGGAGACUGGAAUUCCUGGUGUAGCGGUGGAAUGCGCAGAUAUCAGGAGGAACACCGAUGGCGAAGGCAGGUCUCUGGGCUGUAACUGACGCUGAGAAGCGAAAGCAUGGGGAGCGAACAGGAUUAGAUACCCUGGUAGUCCAUGCCGUAAACGUUGGGCACUAGGUGUGGGGAACAUUCCACGUUUUCCGCGCCGUAGCUAACGCAUUAAGUGCCCCGCCUGGGGAGUACGGCCGCAAGGCUAAAACUCAAAGAAAUUGACGGGGGCCCGCACAAGCGGCGGAGCAUGCGGAUUAAUUCGAUGCAACGCGAAGAACCUUACCAAGGCUUGACAUAUACUGGACCGCAUCAGAGAUGGUGUUUCCCUUCGGGGCUGGUAUACAGGUGGUGCAUGGUUGUCGUCAGCUCGUGUCGUGAGAUGUUGGGUUAAGUCCCGCAACGAGCGCAACCCUCGUUCUAUGUUGCCAGCACGUUAUGGUGGGGACUCAUAGGAGACUGCCGGGGUCAACUCGGAGGAAGGUGGGGAUGACGUCAAAUCAUCAUGCCCCUUAUGUCUUGGGCUUCACGCAUGCUACAAUGGCCGGUACAGAGGGUUGCGAUACUGUGAGGUGGAGCUAAUCCCUAAAAGCCGGUCUCAGUUCGGAUUGGGGUCUGCAACUCGACCCCAUGAAGUCGGAGUCGCUAGUAAUCGCAGAUCAGCAACGCUGCGGUGAAUACGUUCCCGGGCCU
rnacentral:rRNA from 1 species